rnacentral:rRNA from 1 species
GACGAACGCUGGCGGCGUGCCUAAUACAUGCAAGUUGAGCGAUGAAGAUUGGUGCUUGCACCAAUUUGAAGAGCAGCGCACGGGUGAGUAACGCGUGGGGAAUCUGCCUUUGAGCGGGGGACAACAUUUGGAAACGAAUGCUAAUACCGCAUAACAACUUUAAACAUAAGUUUUAAGUUUGAAAGAUGCAAUUGCAUCACUCAAAGAUGAUCCCGCGUUGUAUUAGCUAGUUGGUGAGGUAAAGGCUCACCAAGGCGAUGAUACAUAGCCGACCUGAGAGGGUGAUCGGCCACAUUGGGACUGAGACACGGCCCAAACUCCUACGGGAGGCAGCAGUAGGGAAUCUUCGGCAAUGGACGAAAGUCUGACCGAGCAACGCCGCGUGAGUGAAGAAGGUGUUCGGAUCGUAAAACUCUGUUGGUAGAGAAGAACGUUGGUGAGAGUGGAAAGCUCAUCAAGUGACGGUAACUACCCAGAAAGGGACGACUAACUACGU